rnacentral:rRNA from 1 species
AUGAACGCUGGCGGCGUGUCUAAGGCAUGCAAGUCGAGUGGGUUUAGACCCACGGCAAACGGGUGAGUAACACAUUGGUAACCUACUCCGAAGUUCGGCAUAACCCCGCGAAAGUGGGGAUAAUUCCGGAUGGUCUUUCGUGGCAAAUGCCACCAAAGUAAAGAUUUAUCGCUUCGGAAGGGGCCUAUGGCCUAUCAGCUAGUUGGUGGGGUAACUGCCUACCAAGGCUACGACGGGUAGCGGGCGUGAGAGCGCGACCCGCCUCACUGGGACUGAGACACUGCCCAGACUCCUACGGGAGGCUGCAGUCAAGAAUAUUCCCCAAUGGACGAAAGUCUGAGGGAGCGACGCCGCGUGAUCGAAGAAGCCCUUCGGGGUGUAAAGAUCUUUUAUUAGGGACGAAUCAAUGACGGUACCUAAUGAAUAAGGGGCUGCUAACUUCGU